GGACUCCGAGCUGCUGAGUUAUAGAAUGAUUUGGAUAGCAUGUAGAGGCUUCUUGAUAGAAAUAUUCUAAAGAAAUUUGACAUCCACAAUGCGAAUCAUUUGCCUGUUGAACUAAAGCUGCUCUAUAGCAUAAUCACCAGGAUUUUAUUUUUGAGGAUAGGGAGGUUUGACUGGAUUUCAUCUAGAGACUCAUGUGUGAUGGUU
rnacentral:lncRNA from 1 species